UGGCAAAGCCUUGUGGGGAAGUUCUCCUACAGCUUUCACACUUUGGUGCUUGUGUAUAAGCAUUCGCUGUCAGUCAUCGUAUUUUUUGUGUGCCUUAACUUCCUCAUAGUUCUAAGUAUCGUUCUGCAGUCCCAUCAGAGGUGUGAGGAUGAAACAGUGAAACCUAGUAGAAAUGUUUGUUAUCUAUGAGAUCUUAUGAAGAUCAGCAGGAGCCUGAUACCUCUCCAAAAUUUUUAUGGAUAAAAAUCCGUAAGAC